rnacentral:tRNA from 2 species
AAGGCCUUAAGUUAAAGAAACUAAUAUCCUUCAAAGCUAUAAAUAAAGGGCUGCCUUUAGGCCUUG